AUGAUCAGGGCGGGUUAUGCUUGUGUGCCAUUGUCCUUAUGACCCACAAGGAAAACUUUUACUAGAUCCUCUUUCUUCAAGUGUUUUAUGUGACAUGGUUCAACCUCACUUCUGCAGAAAAAUCUCAUCCAAAAGAACGGCCUGUUACUUAUUGUCAAAGGGUUUUUUUGAAAAAUAAACACCGUACAUAUCAAAACUUGAAAAAUGGCAAAAUUUUUAUGUUUUUUAAAAACUAGCCAACUUUUAACAUAUUCAGACCAAAAUACCUUUCUUUUCUUUUUUUUCUUUUUUUUUCUCUACCAAAACUCUUUUUUUUCUUUCUUUCUGUUCUUUUAUCGUUUGUUUUUUUUCCCUCUACUUUCCCUUUCAAAACACAGCUAGGGCUUUGCUUUUUACUUUCCCCAUGGCUUUGCUUUCUAUCUCGCUCUCAAAAAUAAGAAACAAAAGAUAAAAAGCCCUAGAUCUAUCAAGUAAGAAAUAGAAAAACCUUCUCAAAAAGUUACAAACUGCAUCGAUGGCGAGGAUAAAUCAAUUGCCUUGUGGCUUGGCUUCCAUGGCUGAAUUCUUCUCUCAGUCUGUCUUGCCUCCUCAGUGCUCUGUCUCUGUAUCCAAUCGUUUAUUUGGUUUGAAAAGCCUUUAUAAAUAGGCGAAAGAGAGAAAAAGGCAGAACAAAAUAUUGGCAACGGUAAUAUUUGUUGAAACACCAUCGGUGGCCCCAUUUUGAAGGAGGUUGCGUCCGUGCCAGUGCUGCCGCAACCACCAAAUCAUUCUGCGAUGGUUGUUGGUGACUGUGGUAUUUUUGUGCUCAAAUGCAUGGAGUUUUUACAUACGGGAUUACCCCAUGAACUUUACACAAGACGACAUAGUAUUUUUUAGAAGGAAAUAUGCUCAUGAGGCAUAUGAUAAGGAACUAAGUAUAUAAGUUAGGUGGUGGAUUGAUGAACAAUAUAACAUCUUCUUAACUGUUAUGUUUUUGUAACUUAAUUAUUGUUUUCUUACUUCAUCAUAUUCAUAGCCUUUUGAAUGUAAAGAUAAUGUGGGUUUUCAUGUUCAUUUUACAAAGAGGAUGAUGGAUUUUGAUGUAGAUAACUAAUUUACUUUCUUGAGAAGGAGACAUUUUUUAUUA